rnacentral:rRNA from 1 species
CUAGUACGGCGAGUGAGAGGGAAAAGCUCAAAGUUGGAACCUGGCUGCCCUAGGCAGUCCGGAUUGUAAACUAAAGAGCGUGAUUCCAGGCAAGCCGGUUGACCAAGUCCUUUGGAAUGAGGCGCCACUGAGGGUGAGAGCCCCGUAAGUCGACUGAGCAUUUGUCUUUUGUGCUUCGCGUUCAAAGAGUCAGGUUGUUUGGGAAUGCAGCCUAAAGCUGGUGGUAAAUCCCACCUAAAGCUAAAUACAGGCGAGAGACCGAUAGCGAACAAGUACCGUGAGGGAAAGAUGAAAAGAACUUUGAAAAGAGAGUUAAACAGUAUGUGAAAUUGCCAAGAGGGAAGCAUUUGGAGUUAGAUUGACUAGGAGUUAAUCAGCUUGGUCUUUGGACUGGGUGUACUUGACUUCUUACAGUCUGCCAAUAGCAGUUAGUCCUAGUGGAAAAAACCAGAGGGAAGGUAGUCCUUCGGGAUGUUUAUAGACCUUUGGAAAAUACACUGGGAUUGACUGAGGAAUGCAGUAGAUGCCACUAAGGCUUCGUCUAGUGGGUGCUAGGCAAAGGUACUUGGUAUUUUCAGCUUGCUGAUGUGCUAGUUACUCGAGUCUAGUCGCCUACUAGAACUGUAUCUACUUUGGUUAUUGGCUUAUGACUCUAAUGGCCGUCUG